AUUUCAGACUUUGCAAGAAAGGUGACAGUUUAGAACUCUGCAAGUUAUAACACACCCUGCUAAUGACUGUGUUCAUGUCUGAAAGCAUUCAAUAACUAUGGUCCUUCUAUAUACCUUCUAGGAGACUACAUGAAUCCUACUAAUAUAUUUAUGGAUUUGAUGACACCAAUUUGUUCAACUUUUUACCACAAAGGAAAGAAAGCGCAUUAGGAAGAACUGCAGUAGGACUGAAUAAAUAAACCCAACUCCUUUCCACCUCUGAAAAUUACAUUGUUGUUAUAAUAGUAAAUUGAAAUGUAGCCCAGAAUUCACCAUGCUCAGUUCCUUACACACUGCAAGCUAAGAAAAUAUGGUCCGGUCCUGCCAGCUCACAUUAAAGAUAUUAGUUCUGAUUCUGAUACAUUGUUUUGUAGUAGGAAAAUCCAAGCUGGGGAAGAUAAUAUGGGUGGUGUAUAUGAAAAGAUGGAAGGAGAGAAAGGAGAUGUGGGUAUGACAAGGUUCAACAGUGCCCUCUAGAGUAUCUGAAUUUUGACAUCAGAACUGGAGUAAGUGGUUGAAUGGGAGAAAGAUGCCUGGGCUGCUGAAAAAUUGAUAACAAGGUCCAUCCCUGCCUCCCUCUCCUCUGUGCCUCCCCCCCCUCCACCUGCCACUCUGGACAAAGAGCCAUAACACAUUGACUCCCUUAUCGGUUGCUGUAUUGAAAUGGACAGAUGCUUCUUGUGAGAUGAUCCACACAAAUGUCAGAUCUUUUUCUUUGUGAUACAUGUGA